AUGUGUGGUUUAUCCUCUUGGCUUGCUCCCUCGCUAUCUUGAAUAUCCGGUAGUAGGUGAUGCACAUGAUGACCAGAGGGAUAUAGAAGAAGUCCCCAGGCUGCCCAGCGUUCCGGGCAGGGCGUGAUGGAGAUGGCACAGAACGCAGAGCGGGACACGCUCCCACCCACCGACCCCUCUGAGCUCUCGCUUAGAAAUCCCUUCAGCAGUGGAACAACCAAGAGGAAUAAAAAAGUCAGGCAAAAGCUUUACCUGGGAGCGGUGCCGGCGUUCUGCAGCCCUGCAGCAGGUGGGAGCGCGGAUCACCGUGUGCCGGAGCAGCGCGUGUGCGAGCGGCGGCCGCCAGCUCCGUCCCUCCUCCUUGCCCACCAACAUCCAGGCGGCUCGCUGAUUGCGCCGUGAGUCACAGCACCGGUGGGUGGGAUCAGAGCCCUGAACUCAGACUCCGAGGUUACUAUCCAGUCCAAGUCGAAAUGUUGAAAGGAGCCGGGCGCGCUGCGUGCAGAGCUGCCCUGAGCCGUUUCUGAACUGUGCCGGAAGCAUCCUCUGCACGUGCGGUGUCACAGGGAGCCAAGCCAAGUGAUGAACAGCAGGGGUGGCCCUCUGUGCUUCUGGUGUCUUUCGUCUGUCUGUGGGUUUCCACGAAUGCUAACUGCUGGGCCAGCUGUGUGGGGAGCUGCUCCCCCUUUCUGCUCUCCCUCUUGUGCUGGGCUGUCUUAGAGCUCCGUGCUGCUGGAGAAAGUAAUGCUGACCAUUUCCAUGCCUCCCCAGCUAGCAACCAAAGGGCUGAUGUGUCGUGCUGCUCACCGUGUGCACCCUGGGCUCCCCACGCUGGAUGGAACUGGGCUGCAAUCCUCACCUCCACCCCAGCCAAGCAGAGACCCCAGCAGCCUUGGUGCACAAAGCAGAACGGCCUUGAUGUGUUUGUCUCUGCAGACCCAAACCCAGCUCUGUGUUUCACAACCUGGGGGUCUGCUGGAGCUUCAGAAGGUUACUGCUGGGCAGCAGCAAUGUGGUAUGCAGGGAGGGAAUGCUCUGCAAAACAAGACUCAAAUCUGCUCAGGAAUGUUCACCAGCUGAAAUUGCUGGGGUGUUGACUCCUUCUGCCCCUCAACUCUGCUCGAGGAGGGAUCUUUUGGUCUAGAAUCUGUCUCAGGAUGGGAAGUGCCCUGUAGGAAUAUGCAACUCUGGUUAUGGGGGCAGAACCUCUCCAGUCUCAUUGCCCUAAUCUCUUCUAAUGUAAUGUUCUUGCUGCCUGGGGGCAAGAAAACCCCUCAGGCUCAGAGCUGAGCAAGCUCCAUCUUCUCUUGGGAAGCUCAUAGGGAUCAGAGCCCUGUGAGGAUCCAGUAGCCCCAUGGGCAGGGACAUGGCAGCUGGUGGCUGAGCCACUGUUGCAUCACAGCUGACACCAGGGCUUGCCAGAGAAACUCAUGGACUGGGAUAUUCCCCACAUGGGCAGGCAUCCUGUGAGUCUCUAAUGAGCAGUUUAUUAAAGGCCAAGGCAAUGCUGGGAACUGUGUGUUGGGAAAUUGCAAGUGAAGUCAGGGAAAGUUUGGGACUCCAGGAAUAAAGUGUGAGGUUUGGCAAAUGUGGGUGCUGUGGGAAGCUCUGAUGGGAAGCUGUGCCUGGGGACUAACAGGGCAGCAUGGGGCCAGGGGUCCUGCUGGGCUCCAGCCAUGGCUGGGUAGGCCAGCACUGUGCAAAUGGGACUUUUGUGAUAGGCUGCUUCCUCUAUGGAUGGGAGAGACUGAUGGCUCACUUUGAUCAUCAGGACGCACAGCACAGCUAAAAGAUGAGGAUCUCCCAGAUGUGUUCAAGUGAUUAUAUAUAUUUGGAGUGCCACUAGUGCUUGCUGUUCCAGGAAUAUCUUUGUCCCCAGGCAACUUUGCAAUACCAAGACCAGGGAAGAAAAGGUUGCUCGAGCCUUUUCCACCCUCCCAGAUGCCGCAGUGCCGAUCCCGGUCAGACCCAGGAUCCCAUCUGCUGUGCUGCAGUGUCAGACUGAAGGCACAGCCUGUGACGUAUUCCUGUAUGUUCUCAUAGUGCAGGGAGAGGAUGUUAGAGGUUUAUUUCCAGUUUGUUGAUCUAGACAAAGCUCUCCAGGCUCUGAUGAGGAUUGGAGGGUGCUGGAUUGCUGGUAUUAAGCAUCCUGCAGCUGGCUAA